UGCCGUGCUAGAUGGGGAGUUAGCGGUGCCCUGUAACCUGCAAUCCGCUACAGCAGGAUCGAAGUCCUCAUAGAGGCUCUAACUUGUGGAGUCUGCCCUAUGUAAGUGGUGUUGAGAGUUGGGCCCCACGCAAUGGAAACCUGUGAACCUCGUCAGGUCCGGAAGGAAGCAGCGAUAAGCAGUCAUUUUCAUGUGCCGUGGAUACGUCUGGCUUGAGCUAACUGCAUAGGUAACGUUCAUAAGUUAUUGUCGAAGUGAGGUGCACGGUU
rnacentral:SRP_RNA from 1 species